UAGGUUGGCUCUCUAUGGGCUUUAAUGAACCCUCCAUUAAAAAACCCCACAUUUUCUGGAGGCAUAAAUGGACGGCGAUUGCUCUUGAGGAACACAGGAGGCUGCUGGAUCCCGCCACUGCGCCCUCCCCCAGCGAGAAUGCUGCAGGGAUUUUUUAGGAUGAGCCUUUUGGUGAGGCUUAAGAUGAGAUGCACUUGGACCUGGAAUCCUCCUGCAUUUCCUCAUCCACCCAUGCCUGAUGCAUGUGCUGGAUUUUGCAUGUUCAUCCAUCUCCGUGGGCUGGGUUCUGCUGUAUCACAGCCCUGGACAUCUGUAGGAAUAAAACUGGCUAAAUCCAGAAAGUGAUGAGUCUGUGGACUAAAAGAUCAUUUG